ACCCUCUCAGGGUGGCACCUGGAGAGUUUCCAGUCCUCUACCAGGCUCGACUACGGGAGGGAGAGUCAAGCAGAGGCCCGUCCGUUCCAUUCUUAGCUUGGCCAGUGGCUAGCGAGUGGAAGACAAUCUGUUACAAGU